rnacentral:rRNA from 1 species
GUGCAGCAGGCGCGAAACCUUCGCAAUGCGGGAAACCGCGACGAGGGGACUCCCAGUGCCUACGCUCAGCGUAGGCUGUUCCCGAGCCUAGAAAGCUCGGGGAGUAAGGGCUGGGUAAGACGGGUGCCAGCCGCCGCGGUAAUACCCGCAGCCCGAGUGGUGGCCACUAUUAUUGGGCCUAAAGCGUCCGUAGCCGGCCCGGUAAAUGCCUGGGUAAAUCGUGAGGCCGUAACCUCACGAAUUCCGGGUAGACUGCCGGGCUAGGGACCGGAGGAGGGAGAGGGUACUCCAGGGGUAGGGGUGAAAAUCCUGUAAUCCCUGGAGGACCACCGGUGGCGAAGGCGCUCUCCUAGGACGGGUCCGACGGUGA